rnacentral:rRNA from 1 species
GACGAACGCUGGCGGCGUGCUUAACACAUGCAAGUCGAACGGUAAGGCCCUUCGGGGUACACGAGUGGCGAACGGGUGAGUAACACGUGGGUGAUCUGCCCUGCACUUCGGGAUAAGCCUGGGAAACUGGGUCUAAUACCGGAUAGGACCACUGCCUGCAUGGGUGGUGGUGGAAAGCUUUCGCGGUGUGGGAUGGGCCCGCGGCCUAUCAGCUUGUUGGUGGGGUGAUGGCCUACCAAGGCGACGACGGGUAGCCGGCCUGAGAGGGUGACCGGCCACACUGGGACUGAGAUACGGCCCAGACUCCUACGGGAGGCAGCAGUGGGGAAUAUUGCACAAUGGGCGCAAGCCUGCUGCAGCGACGCCGCGUGAGGGAUGACGGCCUUCGGGUUGUAAACCUCUUUCAGCACCGACGAAGCGCAAGUGACGGUAGGUGCAGAAGAAGGACCGGCCAACUACGUGCCAGCAGCCGCCGUAA